rnacentral:rRNA from 1 species
GGGGAAUAUUGCGCAAUGGGCGAAAGCCUGACGCAGCCAUACCGCGUGUGUGAAGAAGGCCUUCGGGUUGUAAAGCACUUUCAGUGGGGAGGAAAAGCUGGUGGCUAAUAUCCCUCGGCCGUGACGCUACCCACAGAAGAAGCACCGGCUAAUUCCGUGCCAGCAGCCGCGGUAAUACGGAAGGUGCGAGCGUUAAUCGGAAUUACUGGGCGUAAAGCGCACGUAGGUGGCUUGGUAAGUCGGAUGUGAAAGCCCCGGGCUCAACCUGGGAACUGCAUUCGAUACUGCUGAGCUAGAGUACGAAAGAGGGGGGUGGAAUUCCAGGUGUAGCGGUGAAAUGCGUAGAGAUCUGGAGGAACACCAGUGGCGAAGGCGGCCCCCUGGUUCGAGACUGACGCUGAGGUGCGAAAGCGUGGGGAGCAAAC